rnacentral:misc_RNA from 1 species
UUGGGGGCAAGUCUGGUGCCAGCAGCCGCGGUAAUUCCAGCUCCAAUAGCGUAUAUUAAAGUUGUUGCAGUUAAAAAGCUCGUAGUUGAAUUUCGGGAUCAAUAUAUCGGUCGUGCUUCGGUAUGUACUGGUAUUAUUGAUUUCUCCCUUCUGACGAACUAUGAUGUCAUUAAUUUGGUGUUAUGGGGAAUCAGGACUGUUACUUUGAAAAAAUUAGAGUGUUUAAAGCAGGCACACGCUUGAAUACAUUAGCAUGGAAUAAUGAAAUAGGACGUUUGAUCUUAUUUUGUUGGUUUCUAGGAUCGACGUAAUGAUUAAUAGGGAUAGUUGGG